UCUCGCUGGCAUCUCUCUGGCUCUGCGCGCCUUGCGCUCUCUCGCUGCCUAAAGAUGUAACAAUAGGACUCGGCGCUCUGGCGCGCCCUCGCUCUCCCGCGCGCUCUGGCGCUCUGGCCCCAUAAAGAUGUAAGCAAUAAAGCUUUGCCGCAGAAGAUUCUGGUUGUUGUGUUCUUCCUGGCCGGGUGUGAGAGAACGCGUUUGUAACAGUUCCUGUUGCAGAGGAUCCAGGGUGAGUUCCAUCAGCACAUGGUGGCUGUCAACCAUCUGCAACUUCAGUUCCCAGGGAUCGAAUGCUAGUGCUAGUGCACAUACAUAUUCACAUACAAAAAUGAUUACAUCUCAUGACAAUAAAAUUUUAAAAAUAUGAUUUGAAAAAUACUCCUUCUCUUUCUCCUACACAUCCAGAGUGUGAGGACAGGAGUGGAGGGCACAGGAAUGUUUGGACAUCACUGUCCCACCAGCCAAUGAAGAGCGCUCUGUAACAGGACAGGAAAAGAUGGUUGAAAUAGAGUGUAUUGAAAUGACAAUUUGUCAAAAAGCAUAAAAUUAAAAAUACAGAUGAUAUUUCAUUUUAUGAACCUACCAUGCCCAGUGGGUCACAGCCUCAUCCCAGGAAGAAGACACAGUGUGUGCUCAUCUUUGCACUUGAGCUGAUGUGAGUUUUUGAUUCCCUAUGAACAAGAUAAAUUCGACUCAGACGUUUGAAUGCUAAUUUGUAACAGCCCAUGACAUCCCAACAUCCAGAGCAUUCCUGCAGAGAAAGGUGUCCCCUUUCCCAUCUUCCCUCCCACUGCAGACCCUCCAGAGUCUCACCUGUUGAAGAUGAAAGAGAAGCAUCGCAUUCUUGGGCAACAGCGCCGCCUGGUGGAAGAAACAAAGAGGACAGCGUCUGAACCCACAGAGCUGAGGGUAAAGGGGAUCCAGGCUGCUGAGCUGCCCCAGGGCCUCCUUCCUAUCUGCACUUCUCCAGGGCUCUCAGGUCUCAGGCCGCCCUGCUCUCAUCAAACUACAUCCAGAAGAACUUUACGUGCUUUUCCAGCCGUGGGAAGAAAACUCCCUGUAAGAGGGGAGGCAGGAGGCAGAGCCAUGGGUGCUAAAAGGAGCUGCAAAGCCCCAGAGAGCAGUUCCAGAACUCGGACAGGGACCAUGGUGAUGAUUCUUUGAUGUCAGCUACAUGUGGGGUUAACUAAAACCUCAAAAUGGAGGGCAGCAUCUGUGAGGUGUUUUUGCUUAAUUUGAAGUGUGAAAAUCAAUUUCUGAUCCUUUUCUUUGAGGUAGGAAGACACAGGUGUAAACCAGAAUAUUUGAGCAGGAGCCCCUCCCACUUUUUGCUCUGGGCCAUGACUUCUGCUGGAAGCCUACAUGAAGACCUGGAAGAAGGAAAGGCUUGCUCUGUGUCUGCUUGCUCUUCUGGUUUCUACAGUUGCUGAUUCAGGCAUGGUGUUUCCCUACUGAGAGGACUGGACUGUACCUGCUGGUUCCUGUAUGGGGUCUGCUGGCCAAGAAGUCUGGACUGAAGCUGUUGAUUCGUAUUUGGUGUUUGCCAUGGGACUGAACUGCUGACAAAGAAAAUUGAGCUUGCCCCCCAAAAGCUAUUGUUAAACAGGUCCACUUCCCCCAUAUCUAAAUAACUUUUCUCUUCCACUACCUCUUCUGGAUUGUGAGCAAAAGGAGAGGCUAAACAUUUUGUUAUUAUUAUUUAUUAUUAUUACCAUUAUUAUUAUUAUUAAAACUAUCUUUCUUUCUCCCCCUCUUUCUUUCUUUCUUUCUUUCUUUCUUUCUUUCUUUCUUUCUUUCUCUCUCUCUCUCUUUCUUUCUUUUUUCGAGACAGGGUUCUCUGUAUAGCCCUGACUGUCCUGGAACUCACUUUGUAGACCAGCUGGCCUCAAACUCAGACGUCUGCCUGCCUCUGCCUCCCAAGGGCUUGGAUUAAAGGCGUGUGCCACCAAUGCCUGGCCAGAUAGUAGAGAAAGAACGACUGAGAGAAAAAGAGAGAGAGAAACCCCAGAAUCUAAUCUCCUUCCCUUUGUUUGCUCCAUGACCAGAACCUUUAAGAUCUUGUGACCACUGCUACUUAUUCUACACCCACUCAACAACCACAUACCUACCACCCCACUCUUGGGAAUGAGGGCUUAGUGUGUAUAAAAUUGUUUCCCGCUUUCUGGGAAUGAUGAUAUCUCUCAGGGGCACCAAGGCAAUGAGGAUAAUGGUCAAGUCCUAAGAAAGCAAGCUGUAACAUUUGCUGUGCAUUCGCUGUGUGCUAGGAAGGUGCAGGGCUUAGCUGAAUCCUUGGGUGGGGCAGUCUUUGAGGCUGCAAGAUUAGCUAUUUUGAAGUUGUUCUGGAUGCAUAAUUUUGAGGGGCCAGCCAUUAAGGCAGUUUGAGGUUGGAUCAUUUAGGCUAUUUGUCUUGUCUUCUUUGGUGUCUGGUCCUUUCUCUGUAAACACACAAACUUUUAUAGGUGAUAUGCAUUUCUACAUUAACACAUGUAUGGAAUGUACAGUGUGCACAGAGCUUUAUAACUCUGUUUGCGCUAUAUACUCAAGCUGCAAUAUAAAUAUCCACUUGUGCCACAUGAAAGGAUAACCUCAUAAGUCAUGUGGACUUUGUAGCCAACAAGAUUUAUUGGACAUGAAUAGCUGACAUCCUGGCUGGAGACAUUCCAUUCUUGGCCUUCUUCAUAGCUGUUUCCACAUAGAGGGAUGAGAAUUCAUGUUUUGUUUAGUUUUGUUGAUCUGCUUGUUGUCUUCAUUUUUGCAGCCAAGAUUUUCAGGAUGUCUCCUCUGGUCAAAUCUCAUCUUUAUGAAUUUUGAAGGAAGUUAUAGCUUUACUUUUCAUGUUGAAACAAAGGCAAACCAUUUCCCUGAACUCAACACAUUUCCUUCCUUCCAUUCUGAGGUUCUCACAUAUGUGCGCCAAUCGAAUCCAACAGUCCUUUCUCAACUCCAGGGUUGUUCAGCAGCUGUGUUACCUGUCUCUAGACCUAUAACCAGACUUCAGACAAAGUAGAUUCCAGGAGGGAAGGUGGAGUGUGUAGUCCAUGAGGAGUAACCCUGCACUUCUGUGCACUCAUGUAAGGAGCUUGACGAGUUUGCUAAUUCAUUAAGUAGCAUGUGGGGAACAUGUGUGGGAAUGGAUUCUGAGGGUGUGGGAUAAUAGUGGAAGGAACAUAAAACUGGGUCAGGCUGAGUUUUUUGACAUGGGUCCACUGUGUAAAGAUUGUAGCUUUAGUAUGGAAGAUUUCACAUUUUAAAAAGUUGUCAAGACUGUGUUUGAAUCUUUAGCUGAAGUGGUUAUGGAAAGAUGGUCUACUGAAAAGGAGUUGAAGAUGUCUAAUAUGUCUUGGCUUAGUGUUGAUGGAGGGAUUUACAGCUGAGGGAAUAUGCAAUGGUGGAGUGGUCAUGCUGUGUGAAACCUAAUUCUUUAGCCAUGGGACAGCCCAGAAGACACGCCCUUCACUGAUCAUAUAAGGCACAAAAUGUUGAGAGGGCACCAGCACAUUUGAAGAGCUUUGUCGUCGUCCUUUUCCUUGUGCAGACCUUAGGGUUGGAGAUCCUGCUGCUGCUGAAUUGAAUGAAUUAAAUGCAGUGGGUUUAAUUCUCAACAGCGCCCAAUUGCCAAAGGCAGGGUGAUUGUAAUUACCACAAUGGGAAGCAGAGACAACAUAAUGUCCACAGUGGACUGCCCUACCCAGAAUGGUCAUCUCUGGCAGCAUGAAUUUUAUAGUGUCUUGACUCCCAAGGAACUUUGGUCGUAGCUAAUUAACUAUGGUGUUUCUAUGCAUGAAAUACAUAAGAAAAUGUCUUAGUCAUUGUUGUAUUGCUGUGAGGAGACAUCAUAAACAAAUAAAAACACAUUUAAAAAUC
rnacentral:lncRNA from 1 species